rnacentral:rRNA from 1 species
GACGAACGCUGGCGGCGUGCUUAACACAUGCAAGUCGAACGGAAAGGCCCUGCUUUUGUGGGGUGCUCGAGUGGCGAACGGGUGAGUAACACGUGAGUAACCUGCCCUUUACUUUGGGAUAACUUCAGGAAACUGGGGCUAAUACCGGAUAGGAGCUCCUGCUGCAUGGUGGGGGUUGGAAAGUUUCGGCGGUUGGGGAUGGACUCGCGGCUUAUCAGCUUGUUGGUGGGGUAGUGGCUUUCCAAGGCUUUGACGGGUAGCCGGCCUGAGAGGGUGAACGGCCACAUUGGGACUGAGAUACGGCCCAGACUCCUACGGGAGGCAGCAGUGGGGAAUAUUGCACAAUGGGCGGAAGCCUGAUGAAGCAACGCCGCGUGCGGGAUGACGGCCUUCGGGUUGUAAACCGCUUUCGCCUGUGACGAAGCGUGAGUGACGGUAAUGGGUAAAGAAGCACCGGCUAACUACGUG